UACGAGGGGGGCGAGCGUUGUUCGGAAUUAUUGGGCGUAAAGGGCGCGUAGGCGGUGCGGUAAGUCACCUGUGAAACCUCUGGGCUUAACUCAGAGCCUGCAGGCGAAACUGCCGUGCUGGAGUGUGGGAGAGGUGCGUGGAAUUCCCGGUGUAGCGGUGAAAUGCGUAGAUAUCGAGAGGAACACCAGUGGCGAAGGCGAAUCUCUGGACAAUUCCUGACACUGAUGCUCGAAAGCUAGGGGAGCAAACGGG
rnacentral:rRNA from 1 species